GGGUUGUGAGGUUAAGCGACUAAGCGUACACGGUGGAUGCCCUGGCAGUCAGAGGCGAUGAAGGACGUGCUAAUCUGCGAAAAGCGUCGGUAAGGUGAUAUGAACCGUUACAGCCGGCGAUGUCCGAAUGGGGAAACCCAGUGUGAUUCGUCACACUAUCGUUAACUGAAUACAUAGGUUAACGAGGCGAACCGGGGGAACUGAAACAUCUAAGUACCCCGAGGAAAAGAAAUCAACCGAGAUUCCCCCAGUAGCGGCGAGCGAACGGGGAGCAGCCCAGAGUCUGAAUCAGCUUGUGUGUUAGUGGAACGGUCUGGAAAGUCCGACGGUACAGGGUGAUAGUCCCGUACACCAAAAUGCACAGGCUGUGAACUCGAAGAGUAGGGCGGGACACGUGGUAUCCUGUCUGAAUAUGGGGGGACCAUCCUCCAAGGCUAAAUACUCCUGACUGACCGAUAGUGAACCAGUACCGUGAGGGAAAGGCGAAAAGAACCCCGGCGAGGGGAGUGAAAAAGAACCUGAAACCGUGUACGUACAAGCAGUGGGAGCACCUUCGGGUGUGACUGCGUACCUUUUGUAUAAUGGGUCAGCGACUUAUAUUCUGUAGCAAGGUUAACCGUAUAGGGGAGCCGCAGGGAAACCGAGUCUUAACUGGGCGUUAAGUUGCAGGGUAUAGACCCGAAACCCGGUGAUCUAGCCAUGGGCAGGUUGAAGGUUGGGUAACACUAACUGGAGGACCGAACCGACUAAUGUUGAAAAAUUAGCGGAUGACUUGUGGCUGGGGGUGAAAGGCCAAUCAAACCGGGAGAUAGCUGGUUCUCCCCGAAAGCUAUUUAGGUAGCGCCUCGUGAACUCAUCUUCGGGGGUAGAGCACUGUUUCGGCUAGGGGGUCAUCCCGACUUACCAACCCGAUGCAAACUACGAAUACCGAAGAAUGUUAUCACGGGAGACACACGGCGGGUGCUAACGUCCGUCGUGAAGAGGGAAACAACCCAGACCGCCAGCUAAGGUCCCAAAGUCACAGUUAAGUGGGAAACGAUGUGGGAAGGCACAGACAGCCAGGAUGUUGGCUUAGAAGCAGCCAUCAUUUAAAGAAAGCGUAAUAGCUCACUGGUCGAGUCGGCCUGCGCGGAAGAUGUAACGGGGCUAAACUGUGCACCGAAGCUGCGGCAGCGACACUUAGGUGUUGUUGGGUAGGGGAGCGUUCUGUAAGCCUGCGAAGGUGGCCUGUGAGGGUUGCUGGAGGUAUCAGAAGUGCGAAUGCUGACAUAAGUAACGAUAAUGCGGGUGAAAAGCCCGCACGCCGGAAGACCAAGGGUUCCUGUCCAACGUUAAUCGGGGCAGGGUGAGUCGACCCCUAAGGCGAGGCCGAAAGGCGUAGUCGAUGGGAAACAGGUUAAUAUUCCUGUACUUGGUGUUACUGCGAAGGGGGGACGGAGAAGGCUAUGUUAGCCGGGCGACGGUUGUCCCGGUUUAAGCAUGUAGGCGGAGGUUCCAGGUAAAUCCGGUACCUUUUAACGCUGAGGUGUGAUGACGAGGCACUACGGUGCUGAAGUAACAAAUGCCCUGCUUCCAGGAAAAGCCUCUAAGCAUCAGGUAACAUUGAAUCGUACCCCAAACCGACACAGGUGGUCAGGUAGAGAAUACCAAGGCGCUUGAGAGAACUCGGGUGAAGGAACUAGGCAAAAUGGUGCCGUAACUUCGGGAGAAGGCACGCUGAUAUGUAGGUGAAGCCCCUGCGGGUGGAGCUGAAAUCAGUCGAAGAUACCAGCUGGCUGCAACUGUUUAUUAAAAACACAGCACUGUGCAAACACGAAAGUGGACGUAUACGGUGUGACGCCUGCCCGGUGCCGGAAGGUUAAUUGAUGGGGUUAUCCGUAAGGAGAAGCUCUUGAUCGAAGCCCCGGUAAACGGCGGCCGUAACUAUAACGGUCCUAAGGUAGCGAAAUUCCUUGUCGGGUAAGUUCCGACCUGCACGAAUGGCGUAAUGAUGGCCAGGCUGUCUCCACCCGAGACUCAGUGAAAUUGAACUCGCUGUGAAGAUGCAGUGUACCCGCGGCAAGACGGAAAGACCCCGUGAACCUUUACUAUAGCUUGACACUGAACAUUGAGCCUUGAUGUGUAGGAUAGGUGGGAGGCUUUGAAGCGUGGACGCCAGUCUGCGUGGAGCCAACCUUGAAAUACCACCCUUUAAUGUUUGAUGUUCUAACGUUGGCCCCUAAUCGGGGUUGCGGACAGUGUCUGGUGGGUAGUUUGACUGGGGCGGUCUCCUCCCAAAGAGUAACGGAGGAGCACGAAGGUUAGCUAAUCCUGGUCGGACAUCAGGAGGUUAGUGCAAUGGCAUAAGCUAGCUUGACUGCGAGCGUGACGGCGCGAGCAGGUGCGAAAGCAGGUCAUAGUGAUCCGGUGGUUCUGAAUGGAAGGGCCAUCGCUCAACGGAUAAAAGGUACUCCGGGGAUAACAGGCUGAUACCGCCCAAGAGUUCAUAUCGACGGCGGUGUUUGGCACCUCGAUGUCGGCUCAUCACAUCCUGGGGCUGAAGUAGGUCCCAAGGGUAUGGCUGUUCGCCAUUUAAAGUGGUACGCGAGCUGGGUUUAGAACGUCGUGAGACAGUUCGGUCCCUAUCUGCCGUGGGCGCUGGAGAAUUGAGGGGGGCUGCUCCUAGUACGAGAGGACCGGAGUGGACGCAUCACUGGUGUUCGGGUUGUCAUGCCAAUGGCAUUGCCCGGUAGCUAAAUGCGGAAGAGAUAAGUGCUGAAAGCAUCUAAGCACGAAACUUGCCCCGAGAUGAGUUCUCCCUGAGACUUUAAGUCUCCUGAAGGAACGUUAAAGACGAUGACGUUGAUAGGUCGGGUGUGUAAGCGUAGCGAUACGUUGAGCUAACCGAUACUAAUGAACCGUGAGGCUUAACCUUACAACGCCGAAGGUGUUU
rnacentral:rRNA from 1 species